AGUAGUAGGCCUCGGAGCGCUCCAUUGCUGGCGCCGGGGGUCGGGAGGGGAAGCGGGCAAGAAAGGCGAGGCCCGCCCGCCCGCCGCCUCAGGAUAAGGCGAGCCCGGACCAACUGUGACUCACUGAAACUACUCACAGGAUCGUCUUGGAAAAAUUAAUUGGAUCACCAGCGCUAAAGGUUUGACUGAUUCGGAAGCAGCAUACUGCUGUGUUGCAAGAUGCAGUGUUUUACACAUCGACUGGAACUGUUUCCUGACUGCCUUGUUACUCUUAUCCUAUUUAAUGAUGUGAAAAAUGCUGCCACGCUAAGAAAAAAAGCAAUGGAAGGAGCUAUUGAUGGAGCAUUAAUUAAUCCUGCAAUGAUUGUUGAUCCAUUUCAGUUACUCGUGGCAACGAAUAAAGCUGUACAUCUCUACAAGAUCAAUAAAAUGAAGACAAGAACUCUUAACGCUGAAAUAAUAUUCAACCUUUCCCCGAACAAUAAUAUUUCAGAUGCCUUCAGAAAGUUUGGCAUUUCGGACAGUGACACCGCAGUACUCAUUGUUCUGGUUGAAGACCAAGAGAAAACCGUGAAUCUGGACGACGUAAUACGUCAAGUGGAAGGCCAGCAAGUCCCCUUAUCAGACCUCCCCAAAAUAACAGACCUACAGAAAGUUAAAAAGGAAAAGAGAAAAAAACCACGAGGACACUUGCCAGUCUGGCCCAAUGAAAAAUGCCAUCUUUGUUUGCCUGAAAGGAAAUAUUGGAGCUUGAACGCAAGCAAACACCUUCCACCAGUGGUCUCAAGGUUUUCAGGAUAAUCUGUCUUUUCAAAAGCUGGACCGGUGUGGGGGUGUGGGAUCUGUAGGAUAAUAUCUAGAGCUGGAAGAGGGAAGGAUCUGAAGCUUCUGAAACAACACUUCAGCAGUAUUAUCAUGGAAAAUUAAAGGCUUGUUUUCAUUGCCUGACAAAGCAAAUGGCACAUGGAAUAUAUCAUCCAACUUGCUGGCUGGAGAGCAGACACUAUUUUUGGUAGUUUGAACUAACGGCAAGCAGGGAUUGACCGAAUGUUGACGUGAGUUAUUAGAUAAUGAACCAGAUCUACUGAGAUCCAAUGAUAUGAUUAACCACUCCACUCUUUCUGGAUGACCCCGCCCAAGUUCGGUGCUACGAAACUGGGAGCCUGUUAAAUCAAAGAAGAAAUUACACCAAGCGAAAACACUGACCCAGCCUUCUUAAAAUAGAGGCAUGCAUUCCUUUUCCUCGGUGGAUUGCUCUUGCAACUCUUCCCUGAAAGCGCGAAACCAGCCGAGAUCCCGUCAAUCAGUGACCUGAAAGCCCUCAGUCGGUAGCAGUGAGGCUGACUUUGCACAGCUGAAAGAGGAGCGGAGAAUUGAGAUCCUCCGGGAUACAACUUUGGAGCUGCUGCUGCUGCUGCUGCAAGUCAUGAACUAACUAAACCAAUAGCACGUUCUCUCCCCUCGCUGACUGCUUGGGCCUUUAUAAACAGAAGCAGCUAAGUCUCUGCCAAAUGUGGAGCAAUGAAAGAAGCCCUCCCUGUUUGUAGCAUGCGCGUGUGCAAAAGGGAGGUGUGCGAGAAGUGGGGGAGACACUUGGCUGACAAAAUAGACCGCUCUGUUUUCAAGCCAACCCUUAUGCAGGACACAGACACCUUUCCACGAUUCUUCUCUUGCGAUACGAGCAUGGGAAUUUCUCAAACAGAUCUCACGGGUACCCCAAGGGCUCGCAAUAGCCAGUCUGAGCGGGAGGCUUAUUGAAAAUGUCACUUCUCAGAAGUUAACUUUGGAUUCUACACAAUGACAUGUUUCUACUGGCAUUGCACCACUUUGAAGGACAGGUGUGUGCCCCUAAAUCAGGGUAGGCAACCUAAGGCCCUUCUCAAUCCGGCCCGCAGAUGGUCUGGGAACCAGCGUGUUUU